UUAAUGGAGAGUUUGAUCCUGGCUCAGGACGAACGCUGGCGGCAUGCCUAACACAUGCAAGUCGAACGGACUUUUAGUAUUUAGUUUACUAAAUACUAAAAGUUAGUGGCGGACGGGUGAGUAACGCGUGGGUAACCUGCCCAUAAGUUGGGGGAUAACUCCGGGAAA
rnacentral:ncRNA from 1 species